UGGGGAAUUUUGGACAAUGGGGGAAACCCUGAUCCAGCCAUCCCGCGUGUGCGAUGAAGGCCUUCGGGUUGUAAAGCACUUUUGGCAGGAAAGAAACGUCAUGGGUUAAUACCCCGUGAAACUGACGGUACCUGCAGAAUAAGCACCGGCUAACUACGUGCCAGCAGCCGCGGUAAUACGUAGGGUGCAAGCGUUAAUCGGAAUUACUGGGCGUAAAGCGUGCGCAGGCGGUUCGGAAAGAAAGAUGUGAAAUCCCAGAGCUCAACUUUGGAACUGCAUUUUUAUCUACCGGGCUAGAGUGUGACAGAGGGAGGUGGAAUUCCGCGUGUAGCAGUGAAAUGCGUAGAUAUGCGGAGGAACACCGAUGGCGAAGGCAGCCUCCUGGGAUAACACUGACGCUCAUGCACGAAAGCGUGGGGAGCAAACAGG
rnacentral:rRNA from 1 species